rnacentral:lncRNA from 1 species
GAGACAAGGAUGAAACUUUAGAUACGAGGGGGUGUUGCAAAUAUGUUGUUGAUCAUAUACAAAAUUGUGAAAAGAUUUUAACUCGGCUUGGAGAAGUUCAUCUUACAUUAUCGGGUAUGAAGUCCGUAUUUGGAGUACCAAAGGUUGUAAUUGUUGGACAUUUAUGUGGAUCUUACGGAAGAAAACCAGAUCCGACUAAAGU